CUACAGAGGGUGCAAGCGUUAUUCGGAAUUACUGGGCGUAAAGCGCGCGUAGGCGGAUGAUUAAGUCAGUUGUGAAAGCCCUGGGAUCAACCUAGGAACUGCAUCUGAUACUGGUCGUCUAGAGUUUAAGAGAGGGAAGUGGAAUUCCAGGUAUAGCAGUGAAAUGCGUAGAUAUCUGGAGGAACAUCAGUGGCGAAGGCGACUUCCUUGCUUAAAACUGACGCUGCGGUGCGAAAGCGUGGGUAGCGAACGGGAUUAGAAACCCUAGUAGUCC
rnacentral:rRNA from 1 species